AAAUUAUAAUCCUGGUACCUUUGAUAACUAUUUACACCACUGGGUCGAUGCCACUGCUGGUGGACGUUUCGUCCCCGAGGGUAUCACCAGCCCAGUAGUCAACACUUCGGUGUUGACAUGAAUAUCAAUAAUGUGGUCAUUUUUAUAAAUUUCCUGUUUACAAAACUUUGAAUUUUUCGAAAAACUAAGGAUUUUCUUAUCCCAGGCAUAGAUUACCUUAGAUGUAUUUGGCACAACUUUUUGGAAUUUUG
rnacentral:lncRNA from 1 species